AGCAUGUGGUUUAAUUCGAAGCAACGCGAAGAACCUUUACCAGGUCUUUGACAUCCUUUUGAAUGGUCUAGAGAUAGAUCAGGCCUUCGGGACAGAAGAGACAGGUGGUGCAUGGUUGUCGUCAGCUCGUGUCGUGAGAUGUUGGGUUAAGUCCCGUAACGAGCGCAACCCUUAUCAUUAGUUGCUAACAUUCAGUUGAGAACUCUAAUGAGACUGCCAGUGAUAAACUGGAGGAAGGUGGGAUGACGUCAAAUCAUCAUGCCCCUUAUGACCUGGGCUACACACGUGCUACAAUGGCCGGUACAAAGAGUUGCGAAACUGUGAAGUUAAGCUAAUCUCAUAAAGCCGGUCUCAGUUCGGAUUGUAGUCUGCAACUCGACUACAUGAAGUCGGAAUCGCUAGUAAUCGCGAAUCAGAAUGUCGCGGUGAAUACGUUCUCGAGUCUU
rnacentral:rRNA from 1 species